GACCUCCCAUCAGGUAGGACUACCCGCUGAACUUAAUCAUAUCUUAAGCGGGAGGAA
rnacentral:rRNA from 1 species